GGCGGGAUGCUGGGGGCGGGCCGGGGGCGGGGCCAGGCCGGGCGGGCGGCCGGGAGCCCCGAGGCGCGGUCCGCCAGCGCAGGGAGCGCGGCGCCGGGCGAGUGCGCUGUGCUUUGCCGGGCGGCGCGCUCGCGCACUUUCCUGCGCCCCGGGCGGCCGGAGGCUUGCUGCAGCGCUUUCUGCCGAUGCAGAGCGAGUUGCCAGGCACCCUCGCGGGCCACGCACUGCUUUCUCACGGUGGAUGAGGUCGCCUGCAGACCCGGGCUGGGCCUUAUGGGCUGCCCAGGUGUAGAUUGGAGAACCUUGAGCAAAGUCUGA
rnacentral:lncRNA from 1 species